UACGUAGGGGGCAAGCGUUGUCCGGAAUCAUUGGGCGUAAAGAGCGUGUAGGCGGCUUGGCAAGUCUCGCGUGAAAUCCUGCGGCUCAACCGCAGGCGGUCGCGGGAAACUGCCUCGCUAGAGUCCGGAAGAGGAGAGUGGAAUUCCUGGUGUAGCGGUGGAAUGCGCAGAUAUCAGGAGGAACACCUAUUGCGAAGGCAGCUCGCUGGGACGUAACUGACGCUGGAGAACGCGAAAAGCGUGGGGAGCAAACAGG
rnacentral:rRNA from 1 species